rnacentral:rRNA from 1 species
UACGUAGGGUGCAAGCGUUGUCCGGAAUUAUUGGGCGUAAAGGGCUCGUAGGCGGUCCAUCGCGUCGGGAGUGAAAAGCUGGGGCUUAACCCCAGUCCUGCUUCCGAUACGGGUGGACUAGAGGUAGGUAGGGGAGAUCGGAAUUCCUGGUGUAGCGGUGAAAUGACGCAGAUAUCAGGAGGAACACCGGUGGCGAAGGCGGAUCUCUGGGCCUUACCUGACGCUGAGGAGCGAAAGCGUGGGGAGCGAACAGG